UGGGAAGCCCAGGCAUUUCAGUACUCUGCAUUUCAGGCAGUGGAGGUGGCAUCGUUCCAUGUAAAGCGCACCAGAAUGCUCUGUAAAUGCUCAUCUCAGUGUAAUGCCUCUUAUGUCCACUACAGGACAAGAGUCAUGGUUCAGAAAGCAGGUGGCAGGGAAAGACGUGAUGGAAAUAAUGAUAUCAACUGGAAUUAACAAAGGUCACACUCAUUCAACUCAUUCCUCAUCCAAGAUGAAGCAGGUUCCAGUCACUGGUCCCUUCGGAGCUCAGGAGCUUUAACUGAAUCCAGUGGUACUGCACUGUCCCUUGCUGUGUGUGUUAGUCAUUCAGUCGCGUCCAACUCUGCCACCCACGGACUGUAGCCCACCUGGCCCCUCUGUCCAUGGAAUUCUCCAGGCAAGAAUACUGGAAAGGGUGGCCAUU